rnacentral:rRNA from 1 species
GCUUAACACAUGCAAGUUGAGGGGCAGCAUGGUCUUAGCUUGCUAAGGCCGAUGGCGACCGGCGCACGGGUGAGUAACACGUAUCCAACCUGCCGUCUACUCUUGGACAGCCUUCUGAAAGGAAGAUUAAUACAAGAUGGCAUCAUGAGUCCGCAUGUUCACAUGAUUAAAGGUAUUCCGGUAGACGAUGGGGAUGCGUUCCAUUAGAUAGUAGGCGGGGUAACGGCCCACCUAGUCUUCGAUGGAUAGGGGUUCUGAGAGGAAGGUCCCCCACAUUGGAACUGAGACACGGUCCAAACUCCUACGGGAGGCAGCAGUGAGGAAUAUUGGUCAAUGGGCGAGAGCCUGAACCAGCCAAGUAGCGUGAAGGAUGACUGCCCUAUGGGUUGUAAACUUCUUUUAUAAAGGAAUAAAGUCGGGUAUGGAUACCCGUUUGCAUGUACUUUAUGAAUAAGGAUCGGCUAACUCCGUGCCAGCAGCCGCGGUAAUACGGAGGAUCCGAGCGUUAUCCGGAUUUAUUGGGUUUAAAGGGAGCGUAGAUGGAUGUUUAAGUCAGUUGUGAAAGUUUGCGGCUCAACCGUAAAAUUGCAGUUGAUACUGGAUAUCUUGAGUGCAGUUGAGGCAGGCGGAAUUCGUGGUGUAGCGGUGAAAUGCUUAGAUAUCACGAAGAACUCCGAUUGCGAAGGCAGCCUGCUAAGCUGCAACUGACAUUGAGGCUCGAAAGUGUGGGUAUCAAACAGGAUUAGAUACCCUGGUAGUCCACACGGUAAACGAUGAAUACUCGCUGUUUGCGAUAUACAGCAAGCGGCCAAGCGAAAGCGUUAAGUAUUCCACCUGGGGAGUACGCCGGCAACGGUGAAACUCAAAGGAAUUGACGGGGGCCCGCACAAGCGGAGGAACAUGUGGUCUAAUUCGAUGAUACGCGAGGAACCUUACCCGGGCUUAAAUUGCAGAUGAAUUACGGUGAAAGCCGUAAGCCGCAAGGCAUCUGUGAAGGUGCUGCAUGGUUGUCGUCAGCUCGUGCCGUGAGGUGUCGGCUUAAGUGCCAUAACGAGCGCAACCCUUGUUGUCAGUUACUAACAGGUUCCGCUGAGGACUCUGACAAGACUGCCAUCGUAAGAUGUGAGGAAGGUGGGGAUGACGUCAAAUCAGCACGGCCCUUACGUCCGGGGCUACACACGUGUUACAAUGGGGGGUACAGAGGGCCGCUACCACGCGAGUGGAUGCCAAUCCCCAAAACCUCUCUCAGUUCGGACUGGAGUCUGCAACCCGACUCCACGAAGCUGGAUUCGCUAGUAAUCGCGCAUCAGCCACGGCGCGGUGAAUACGUUCCCGGGCCUUGUACACACCGCCCGUCAAGCCAUGGGAGCCGGGGGUACCUGAAGUGCGUAACCGCGAGGAGCGCCCUAGGGUAAAACUGGUGACUGGGGCU